rnacentral:lncRNA from 1 species
GGACUCCAGUUUUGAUCAACUAAUAUAUUAAUCUCCUCUAAUGAGUGCAGGUGGAGCAUUUGGAGGGAACCGAGGUGCACGACCAGUGCCGCCAGAAAAAGGAGUAUUUCCGUUGGACCAUAUGCACUUAUGUGAUCUGGUAUGAUCGCAUUUAAAACCUCUUUGAAGUUAUGAUUUGGUUUGCCUUUUCGUCAUUGUAUGUAAGUAAAAAAACAAUGAUUUUUUUAUCGUAUGUAACAUAUUUUCAGUCUCUUACUUGUAAAUUGGUGACUUGUAGCUAUUUUAGCUGAAUGUUACUCACACAUGAUGAUAAAAUGUUGAAAGUAAUGUUGCAUACGAUGACAAAAAAGUGAAAGUAAGCUACAUUUUCGUGUAAUGAAUCCUUAGUUGUCAAUAGCGAGCGUAGCGAUCACUAUAGCGCGCUACGUAGUGUAUAGGUCUAGGCUCGCUAUUAGGGUUGUAGCGAUAAAUAGCGAUAGUAGCGACAAUUUAUUUAUUUAUUUAUUUUUAAUAUAAAUAGCAAUUAAAUAUAGCUAUAAAAUAGCUGGAUUUUAGGUUGUUGUUAAAUAUACAUGUAAAAUAGCAUAUAUACCAGGGUAUUUUGACAUAAUAUACAUAUAAAAAAAUUUAAAUUUUUUCUCUAGUGUAUCGCUAUUUAUAAAAUAGCCGGCCGCUAUUUAUCGCUAUUCGCUAUGUAGCAUAUAGGUUUUCUGAAGAUCCUUAAAUUUAGGUUUUCUGGGAAUGUGCAGGAGAAGAAAGAAUAUAUAAGCUGUCUUAAAACAUCGGGGCAUAAAUCUGAGAUUUGCAGACAUCUUUCUAAGAAGUACCUCGAAUGCCGUAUGGAAAAGUUAGUGUCUUUAACUCUUUAUUAAUUCCCUUUCAAAUAUUAUUUGCAAUCAUCAACUUGUUUUUCACAACCAUUUUGUAACGGUUGCAUAGUAUGCAACAUGUACUCUGUGAGUACACGAGUUGAAUUUUGGAUUGUUCUUUAAUCCGACACGCUGGUGAUACGGGUAAAACUAAAAAUUAGCUCAUAAGGAAACGGGUCUACCCAUAGUUGUCAAUAGCGAUCGUAGCGAUUGCUACAGCGCGCUACGUAGCGUAUAGGUAUAGUGUCGUUAUUAGGGUUGUAGCGAUGGAUAGCGAUACUUCAUUUUUUUAAUAUAAAUAGAAUUAAAUAUAGCUAUAAAAUAGCUGGAUUUUAGGUUUUUGUUAAGACCACCCGUAGUGGGGCGGUAUUUUAAAAAAAAUUGAAAAAAAACGCCCCAAAACGCCCCCACCCCCAUUACACCCGGCGUUAUUAGGCGUUAUUUUUGAAAAAAUUGGAUCUUGGCGUUUUAAUUAAAACGCUGGAAGUGGUCAAAUGGUUUAUUGAAGUGGCCAAUGGGAGUGGAGGAGAGUUUGACUAGCCAAUGACCAACUAGUUUGUUUUUUUUUUUUUUUUUUUUUUUAAUGAUUGGAAGGGGCAUUAUUAGGCAUUAUUCCCACUACGCCACUUUUGCAAUAACGCCCCAUGCUGACUGGACUGCCACGUGUCGGAUAAUGCCCCAUGGUGGGGGCAUUAUUUUUCUUCACCACUACACAUGGUCUAAAUAUACAAUUAUACAUGUAAAAUAGCAUAUAUACCACGGUAUUGCGAUAUAAUAUACAUAUAAAAUUUAAAAAAAUAUAUUUCUGGUGUAGCGCUAUUUAUAAAAUAGUCGCCCGCUAUUUAUUGCUACUCGCUAUGUAGCAUAUAGGUACCUUAUCGCUAUAUGUCGCUAUUCGCCAUUAACAUCUACGGGUCUACCUUCACUCAAAUUGUAUUUGUAGUGUAUAAAAACAUCCUAAAUCACCAAUUUAUGUUAAUUUUGAAUCAAUAUACUUUUCUAAUUAUAUUCAAAAUAACUUUGGUAUAAGCAACUUCAAACUUUGACUUAUUCAAAAUAACUUAUUUAACUAAUAACUAAUCAGAUAAGCCAUUCAAACACUCUAAAACCUUAUGAUGUAUCCAAACACACCCUAACUAUUUAUAAAAGUUACUUUUUUAUAUAAGACGUUUGGGUCCUAAUUUUUAUCGAAAAUAAAAUCAAGUGUUGUUAUUUUACUACACUAAUGACGUGUAGGCUGCAAUUGCAUUCUGUUUCCUAAUCUUUAUCGAAAAGAAAAUCAAGUGUCGAUAUUUUACUACAUUAAUUCUGUGAUGUGGAGGUUUAUCUGUUGUUUGAAAGAGAGUUUGAGUGUGACAUUCUUGUUGGCACACAAUGUAAUUCAAAACAAUUUUUUUUGUUUGUUUAUCUACGGUUUGUGAAUCACGUCUAAUUGUCCUAUUAUUUGGAAUGUUUUUCAGGAAUUUGAUGGCGAAACAGGAUAUGUCAGAAUUAGGUUUUCGGACGGACGACAAGUCACAAGAGUCAAAUAUGAAAAUCCAAAAUGAAAUGGAGGGGUGAAUGAGAAUAUUUGGGUAUCAUAUCUUUGUGAAACUUAUUUGCAUAUAGCCUUUGAUAUAGCCAUGGCCAUGAUAAGCUUUGAGAGUUUUUCCUUUUGUUUCUUCUUUAAAAAAAAUUAUUUCUGGAUAAUUCAACAUACGAAACGAUCCUUUUUAGCUAAUAAAUUGAUUGCAUAGAAACGUUAGAAACAUUACAUAACAAUGCCAGGCAGUGGCGAAGCUUGAGAUUUUCGACAGGGGGUCGAAAACGUAUAUACCCAAAAAUUUCUAUACGAAAACUACAUACUCUCCACUACUGAGCGAAAAGUUUGGGGGGUCGGCCGCCCCCUCCCGCCCCCACUAUCCUUCGCCCAUGAUGGCAGGUAAACGGGCAACAAGCUGCGCCACAACCCCUUUUGAAUAGCAAAUCCAAUUCUACACUCUAUCCAGGAAACCGGUAACUUCAGGGGUAAGGGACUCGAAAGUAUCAAAGGCAAAGGGAAACUGUCAGGCGCCUAAAUUAGCACACGGUUGGUCCCACCGCUAGAGUUUAUCUGUUCGACAUGCGUUAUCGUAAUUAAGAGUUAUGAGAUGGUAGCAGGGUAGGUU